rnacentral:rRNA from 1 species
GCUUAACGCGAAGAACCUUACCCACCUUUGACAUCCCGUGCUACCUAGAGAGAUCUAGGGUCCCUUCGGGGCGCGGAGACAGGUGCUGCAUGGCUGUCGUCAGCUCGUGUCGUGAGAUGUUGGGUUAAGUCCCGCAACGAGCGCAACCCUCGCUUCUAGUUGCCAGCAUUUAGUUGGGCACUCUAGAGGAACUGCCUGCGCCAAGCAGGAGGAAGGCGGGGAUGACGUCAAGUCCUCAUGGCCCUUACAGGUGGGGCUACACACGUGCUACAAUGGCGGUGACAAAGGGAUAAUCCCUAAAAGCCGUCUCAGUUCGGAUUGUCAUCUGCAACUCGACUACAUGAAGUUGGAAUCGCUAGUAAUCGUGAAUCAGCAUGUCACGGUGAAUACGUUCCCGGGUCUUGUACACACCG